UGAGAAGCAACAAACAACUCCAACUGUUUGGUUCGGGUAUAAACAAGAACUAGCUAUUACAGGGAUAUGUACAAGUAUGGAGAUAAGAAAAAUAACGUUUGGAUAGAUAAUGUGAAAUAAAAAAAAUAGUGGGUAGUUAUAUAUAGAAAAUGAAGGUGUUGGUGGGAAUAGUUAUAUCCGGUUAUUAUAGAUAAUCGAGAGCUGCUAUUCUCGGAUAAAAAAUUAGCGUUUGGAUAUAAAGGGGGAUAAGGGGUUAUCCCUGUCCCUAUCCCCCAUCCAAACA
rnacentral:lncRNA from 1 species